rnacentral:tRNA from 1 species
GGAAUUGUGGAUCAGUGGUAGAGCACUUGCCUGGUAUGUAUGAGGCACUGGGUUCAAUUCUCAGCACCA